CGCUGGCGGCAGGCCUAACACAUGCAAGUCGAGCGGAUGAAGGGAGCUUGCUCCCUGAUUCAGCGGCGGACGGGUGAGUAAUGCCUAGGAAUCUGCCUGGUAGUGGGGGACAACGUCUCGAAAGGGACGCUAAUACCGCAUACGUCCUACGGGAGAAAGUGGGGGAUCUUCGGACCUCACGCUAUCAGAUGAGCCUAGGUCGGAUUAGCUAGUUGGUGAGGUAAUGGCUCACCAAGGCGACGAUCCGUAACUGGUCUGAGAGGAUGAUCAGUCACACUGGAACUGAGACACGGUCCAGACUCCUACGGGAGGCAGCAGUGGGGAAUAUUGGACAAUGGGCGAAAGCCUGAUCCAGCCAUGCCGCGUGUGUGAAGAAGGUCUUCGGAUUGUAAAGCACUUUAAGUUGGGAGGAAGGGUUGCUGAUUAAUACUCUGCAAUUUUGACGUUACCGACAGAAUAAGCACCGGCU
rnacentral:rRNA from 1 species